GUUAGCAGCUAGCUCUCUGCAACUCUCACAUGGUCCUCACUGAAGCAAAGCAGGGCUGUGCCCGGUCAGUACCUAGAUGGGAAAUCACAUGGGAAAGCUAGGUUGCUGCCAGAA
rnacentral:rRNA from 1 species